UCUAAAGAGGCCGAAGAUAUACAGAAAGUUUAUACAGGAUACUGAAAGUAAAAGGUUUUGAGUUUAGCACUGUUACAAGCUCUGUCCUUUCACAAUGGCAUGAGCAAGCAGUCCAGCUGAACUGACUUUUACUGUUGGAUUUUGGAAUGAGAAAUGGCUUUGUAGUAGAAGUAGCAGACAGCCCUCGCACUCCAUCUGCCAGAAUGCGGAGUACAGCAAUACAAUUCCCUGAACCGAGAAGAGAUGGCUUGUUUGGCAUGAUCUUGUUUUAACACAGGGUUGUGGGGCUGAAGGUAUCUCUGCAGCACUGGGUGCAUGGAGGCACACUCACCCACACGAGGCUAAAUUUGGAGUUGCCAGUUAAUUAAAGCUGAACAUGUCUGCGAUGUGGGAGGAAAACUACAGUGAAACCCAGGUAGACGUGAUGAAAAUGUGCAAAAGAUUUGAAGGACAGGCUUUUAGCGCAGUGAUUGAGCAACACCAUCAUUGUGCCACUGCAAGGCUGAAUAUUUUUAAUGAAUUUUACAAAUCUGUUACCAUAAGAUGUUUUCAGACACUGUCAGAGCAGCAAAGUUGGAAACAAAGAACAUCUGAAAGUGGCUUUCUAAGAGAGAAGCUGUGGUCUGAUGAUGAAGGUGCCACCCAAAGCCCCGCAAAUCUGAUGGGGGCCAGGAGACUGUCCUGGAGAAUGACAAAAUAAGUAUUCACAGCCCCUGAAUUUUCCUUUCUUUUCCCUACAAUACACCUGCUCCAUUUUAUUUACUUUGCCGUAUGGUAAUGCAGAAUUCUUGUAUGUUUAACUGAACGACUUAGUAUUAACAAAGUGAUUAGCUGAGAUGACUUUUGAAAUCCAGUGACUGCUGAAUGUGUUACUUUCAAAACAAAGAUGCUCCAGAUAAGGGCAGGUUUGGGUCAACUGACAGCUGAAAAAUCAUCAAUACUACAGAGAUCAUUUUUUUCUUGUUAAAGAGACACAUUAAAAGAUCAAAUAAUGUUUACAAGAAAUGUUAGGAAUAUUGAAAGAAUACACUAAA